CCUACGGGGAGGCAGCAGUAGGGAAUAUUGCUCAAUGGGGGAAACCCUGAAGCAGCAACGCCGCGUGGAGGAUGAGGGUUUUCGGAUUGUAAACUCCUUUUGUUAGAGAAGAUAAUGACGGUAUCUAACGCAUAAGCACCGGCUAACUCAGUGCCCGCAGCCGCGGUAAUACGGAGGGUGCAAGCGUUAAUCGGAAUCACUGGGGGUAAAGAGCGCGUAGGCGGGAUAGCAAGUCAGAUGUGAAAUCCUAUGGCUUAACCAUAGAACUGCAUUUGAACCUGUGAGUCUAGAGUAUGGGAGAGGUAGGUGGAAUUGUUGGUGUAGGGGUAAAAUCCAUAGAGAUCGAGAGGAAUACUCAUUGCGAAGGCGACCUGCUAGAACAUAACUGACGCUGAUGCGCGAAAGCGUGGGUAUCAAACAGGAUUAGAUACCCGUGUAGUC
rnacentral:rRNA from 1 species